AUCAUUGCUUCUUUAAUUUUGGUUGGCACUUCUUUUUAAACUAAAUCUUUUAUGCAAAAUAGAGUACAUUAUCUUUAACUUUUAAUGCUUUCUAUAAUCAUAAUGCAGUUCUCCUUAACACUGCCUUUUUUAUGUGCCUAGUGAACCUCUUGGCAAAGAAAGAAAACUGCAUUUGCUUAACUCCCUGUUGGAAAAUGUGAAAAGCUAUUUGCACAUACCAUGGCCAGUUGGGACUGAAGCUCAAUUUCCAGGGCUUGCAGGCUGUUGUAGGCUGAUGAAAGGAGCAGAAGCGGCCGGUGUGUAGCUACUGGCUUAGGUGCUCAGCAGAGAGGAUCUACCUGCCCCAGCAUCAGUGGAGAUUUGUCUAAUGGUCUAAAGUUUACCCUUGGGAUGUUUGUAAAUUUAGGUCAUGAUCCUCUAGUAUAUAUAUAUAUAUAUAUAUAUAUAUAUAUAUAUAUAUAUAUAUAUAUAUAUAUAUUUAUUUAUAAAAUGGAAUAAAAUUUAUUUUUCUCCC
rnacentral:lncRNA from 10 species